rnacentral:rRNA from 1 species
GACGAACGCUGGCGGCGUGCUUAAUACAUGCAAGUCGAACGGAAAGGCCCUGCUUUUGUGGGGUGCUCGAUUGGCGAACGGGUGAGCAACACGUGAGUAACCUGCCCUUGACUUUGGGAUAACUUCACGAAACUGGGGCUCAUACCGGAUAUGAUCUCCUGCUGCAUGGUGGGGGUUGGAAAGUUUCGGCGGUUGGGGAUGGACUCGCGGCUUAUGAGCUUGUUUGUGUGGUAGUGGCUUACCAAGGCUUUGACGGGUAGCCGGCCUGAGAGCGGUACCGGCGACAAGACGACUGAGAUACGGACCAGAAGGCUACGGGAGGCAGCAGGGGGGAGUAUUGCAGAAUGGGCGGAAGCCUGAUACAGCAAUGCCGCGUGCGGGAUGACGGCCUUCGGGUUGUAAACAGAUUUCGAAGGUGAUGAAGAGUGAGUGACGGUAAUGGGUCAAGAAGCAACGGCUAACUACGUG